AACGAACGCUGGCGGCGUGGAUAAGACAUGCAAGUCGAACGCUCAUUCAUCUGCAGCAAUGUAGAUGAGUGGGAGUGGCGCAAGGGUGCGUAACACGUGGGUAAUUUGCCGCGAAGUUGG
rnacentral:rRNA from 1 species